rnacentral:lncRNA from 1 species
CUCCCCCCAACUCUUCCUUUUCUAACACCUCCUCUUCAAACCCUAUCAUUGUCCUCAUCCCUCCUCUCUAUCCCUCUUGUCCAUCUAACAUAAUUCUGAGCCCCUCCUACUCCCCUUCUUGUAUCUCUUUCUUAUUGAUAUAUGCCUUAUGAUCUUCUUCACCUUCUUUGUUUCUCAUAUCACCGACUUUUCUGCAUCAUCACCUUCACCAACCUCAUUAUGGUAUCCCCUAUGCCACCUCCCUAUAGCUAUUAUUUUCUUCCAUCUCCCGCUCUAUUCUC